AGUCGUACAUAGAGACCUGAAG
rnacentral:miRNA from 1 species